rnacentral:rRNA from 1 species
UACAGAGGGUGCGAGCGUUAAUCGGAAUGACUGGGCGUAAAGGGCGCGUAGGCGGUUAUGUACGUGGGAUAUGAAAGACCUGGGCUUAACCUAGGAAAGUGUACCAAACGGCAAAACUGGAGUAGGGUAGAGGGUGAUGGAAUUUCCGGUGUAGCGGUGAAAUGCGUAGAGAUCGGAAGGAAGGUCGAUGGCGAAGGCAAUCACCUGGACUCAUACUGACGCUGAGGCGCGAAAGCGUGGGGAUCGAACAGG